UACGAAGGGGGCUAGCGUUGCUCGGAAUCACUGGGCUUAAAGGGUGCGUAGGCGGCCGUGCAAGUCUGGCGUGAAAGCCCCGGGCUCAGCCCGGGAAGUGCGCUCGAAACUGCGCGGCUCGAGUGCCGGAGGGGAGAGUGGAAUUCCUGGUGUAGCGGUGAAAUGCGUAGAUAUCAGGAGGAAUACCGGUGGCGAAAGCGACUCUCUGGACGGCAACUGACGCUGAGGCACGAAAGCGUGGGGAGCAAACAGG
rnacentral:rRNA from 1 species